UGCAAACCUAAAAACACCGCAAACCCCUCUUUCAUCACCACCUGGAUGACUGAAGAGAAACAGAAAGCCACUCUUAACCCCUGAGAAGCUGGGCUCACACUGAGAGAACAUGCUGUGGCCUCCCGCCCACCGGACAGAUGAGGAAACCCACGCCUGAAGUACGAAAGUGACGAGCAGAAGCCCCACAGCCCCGGGGAUGACAGCAGACGCUCCUGAAAAUCCAGGAAUCUGCAACGCAGUGCCUGUGGGAGGCAGACAGGUAUGAUUUGGUUAGGUGCUCGGCAAGAGGGACACAGAGACCUUUCAGGAUGACUGGAGGAAUGGAUUUGUCUGUCUAGCUCUCCGUCUGAUGAUGCAUUGGAGCCUGGGCUUUCGUAUGUCAUCCCACCCUCGUGACCCCUCCAGGAGCUGGAAUCCAAUGGAACUUAGUCCGUGUGAACCCUAGCCUCACCUACUUAUCCCCUUGGUAUGAAAUCCAUGAAACACCGAGGUGUCCAAGUUCCACACAGGAACUAAAAGAAUUGGAGUUUCUGGGACAUCUGGAGCCUGCCUGAAGAAAAGUGAAGAGGCUAGUUACGCAAUCUUAAGAAUUUAUCUAGGAAACAAGGAAGGCUACUGACCAGCAAAUCCAAGCUGUUUAUAUGGGUCUGGAUGUUGUGUGCAUCUUCAGCAGGAACUCCCCUGAAGUGCUUGAGCUUUGAACUUCCUGUCUCCCUUAUCACCAUGGCAAAUGGCACCAUCCACUUGACACACUUCUCUAUAUCACACCACUGAUACCCUGCAAUGAAAAUAAAUUUUAGGCUCAACUGGUUUGUAAGUUUAAUAGACCUUGUGAAUGCACCAGAAAGCCAACGUACCUGAAACCUUUUGCAUCAAUUCAGAGGAAGAGAAAUGAUACAAGGCAGAAGCAGCAAGUACACCAUAGGGAAAUUCUAAGCAGCCAACAUCCAGGACACAAAGAUCUAAAAGCUAUGGAGAAGAAAAGAACACUGAGGCAGACGGCCAUCGCACAUCCCUUCUAGAGUUACGCAAUCUAAUGACGGGGUGGGUAGCCCCACAGAGGGAAGAGUCACUUACCUCUGCAAUCUGUAUGAAGAUCUGCUGGGGGUACUGUGGUAGAAGCACUUCAUAUAAGUCAUUCAGAUAUGCAACCUGCAUAUAUACAUUCAGCCAGGACACAAUGGUAAGGGGACUUAAAUGCCACUUAAGGGCCUAAGGGAAAACAGAAAAGAGACCAACGGUUCAGAAAAGAAAAAGAUAUUUCUGCUCCCCUUGGACCUCUAAAGAAGUUCCAAACACAGCCAUGUUCCACGCCACAAUGUGUCCAGCUGGAGAACACCUAGCCAGAUGCACUCACACUAAUGUGGAAAAGCUAUUAUGUAUGCAUUCUUAAAAAAGACCUGAAAAAUUAACUUGUAACCUACCUUCAUAAUGAUUAAUUCCAUGCUAAGAAUUUCCUCUCCCGAACAAGCCCCAUCUGUAACAUACGCAAACUGGUGAAGCUUUGGAGGAUAGAUUUCCUAAAAGCAAAUAUAAGGGAGAAACAACUUAUAAAAAAUCUCUAAUUGUUCUAACUUAUAACGUACAUCCAAAUAUUGUUUUUAGUAUUUUACCAUGAAAAGAGAGAGGAAACGCCAGGGAAUACAUACAGGAGCUACUCUGCUGGCCGAAAUGUAUUCACUGUGAAAGAAACUCCCCACUCCCCGCCCCCACCAGACCCAUAAAGAAAUGCAUAAAUACAACUUCUACUCAGUGGAGGGAGUUUUGAAAUGUUCACCUUUUUUAAUACCUUUAGCAACAUGUUUGCAAGUUAGGCCCAUUCACCCUUCUAAACACUCCAAAAUUUUAAUUGUCUUGGGUCCGAGUUCAAGUUUUUGGCUUAAGGUAACUACAUUAACCUAAAUAUUUAACGGACUCAGUACUUCUCUCACUUGUUGGUUAAUUUCUAGUCCUUUCUGCGUAUCUUUACUUUAGAUGACCUCAAAUGAGAAAAAUGUACACAAAAAGUUGGCCUCUUCUAGUAAUCACAGAGGAUCUCAAGAAACAGCACAUGCCACAUAACAUUUGAAAAUUAUCUACCUCGAGUUUGGCAGCAAUAAAUAAAGAUGAAAUCCCAAUAAGCUGUAAAAGCGUUUUUACAAUAUUUUGUUGUGUUGCCAUAUACCGAUCAAAGAAAUCCUGUGCCAAGUAAAAUGUCUCUCUAUGAAGUUUAUAGACUUCACACACCUGAAAAGAAAAAAAGUAAGUUUUAGAGCAGUUUCUUGAAAAAAGACAAAAGUAAAACAAAAAAACAGUUGCCAUGAGUUUUGGCGAAGCACAAUAUAACCAAAUCAAGAGAGAACUUUGCUUUGCUGAAAGGAUUGUCACCUUGUUUGUCCCCAGGCACACACACAAGGAUUAAGUGUUCUAUGAUCUACGUAAUAAUAGUAAGAGCAAAUCUUCAUAGGCUGGGGGAGAAAGGUAUGUUCAUCACCUGGUAAAGCAGAAUUUUCAUGGAAAUACUAUGAACAAUUAUCUCGAACUAUAAUGUGAGGACCGUGCCUGCCCUGCCCACCUCCUAGGAUCGCUGAGAGUCAGGGUAAAAUGGUGUGCAUGAGGGAGCUGAGGACGACCAAGGAAAUGUUAGACCUCACCCAUUACCACCAUCAAAUGUCUGAUUAUGCACAUAAAACUGCUAUUCCUAAACUGGCCUUCCCAGGUAUAAGUGAAAUUCAUGGGCUUAAAAAGUAGAAAAGACACCCAUGAAAACAGAACAGUAAUAGAAAAUUCCGUCAGUUACCAAAGAGGAUUUCUAAAGUCCAGGCUAGGGUAUAUUUACAGUCAGUUCUCAUAAAGGAACACAAUUAUAAUCAGAAGUGAACCUAGAGCUUCUGUCCUCUCGGGAACAAACUCUCGACCUCUGUCGCCAGCCCGCACUGGGCACACAGCCUGAGCUCCGCCUUUCCCGCGCGUGGGCCGGCUUCCUGGCUGGGCUAGAGGCUGAGAAAAGCAUCACUGCACACAAGCCUCAAGCACUGUCUCAGCGAGGACGCAAGGGUUACCGUUCUUUUCUGUCUUUUCAAUGGGAUUACAUGACUUUCUCUUGACAGGCUUUCAGAGAAAAACCUUCCUUCAAGUAUUUGGCAUCAACUGCAUUAUACAAAAUAGAACAUGUCAGUCACAGUGUCUAAGGAGCUGAAGCCUGGGAGAAUACAGGACGCCACAUCUAAUGCUUCAAGGCAUUAUAAAUUGACCCACAGGACCCGGAAAGUCCAUGUGCCAUAGUGGGCCCGCGGAAGUCCCCUCCAUGGCCCCUAGUUUUAAGCAGGCCUGCCAAAGAACUCAGCACAGAAAAUGUUACUACAUCCAGAGACCAGUAAAGAAAAGUCAAUUAAUGGUAUAAACAGCUAUCUUGCCGACGCUGGUAAGCUGCACUCCAUCCAGACUAUGGCUAAUCCAUAUAAACUCUGCAAGGGAAACAUUACAGGAGAGAAAACCAAGAUUCUAAGUUGAAUGACUUGCCUAAUGAAGACACAUAGAUGGCGGCAGCAGGGGACGUGUGUGACUCAAGGAUGAGUGCGACGGGCACGUAUACCCUUGGAUACACACUUUCCGAAGAGUACACAGCAGUUUGUUUUUGGGGAAUAUUUAGGCACUCAACUUCCAUCCGUCCUUUCCCAUAAGAUGGAUCUGCCUGAGAUGUCCUUCAACAUUACAGAAGAAAUCCCAUUUCUCAUCACCCAAGGCUUACAAAGGUGUCCAAGAAGCAUCCCUAAACUGAGGCACUACUGAGUCACCCAUAUUUCCUCUCAGAAGGAGGUACACUGUCCAUACAAUAUUGUUUUUUAUUUAAUAAUUACCCAUCAAAACAGGUCAGUGGAAAAUAGAACUUCUGUAAUUAUCUGAACUUUGAAGAGAAAGACCAGAUGCCAACUUAAAAACAUCGAAGACGUAAAGAGCCUUCAGAAAUUCUAGGGAAGAAUGCUGCGGCAUACACUCCACAGCUUCACAGUCUCAGAAUGUGUCAGUAGGAUCAAACGCACAGAGACCGUAACGGCACAGAAGAUUCUAGAAGAGGUCAAGGCUUCCAGGCAGCAGGAAGCCUCGAGCUCACCUCCAUUAACCAAUCCAGAAGAACGGCUCGCAUCCUAGGCUGCAGGAGAGGGUGCCGCUGCAUGAAGCGCUUAUCCCGACACCUAGUAAAACAGAAAAUGUCAACACUGCAGAGCGACCUCCAGACCUAAAAACAUAUUCUGGCUUAAAUUAAGAUGAAGAUGGAACGGACAGCUCAUGAAGGCUGACUAGAGAAGAACAGGGACAACGGGAGGACUAGAAAUGAGCGUGGGGCCUUGCGCGCCAGGUGCUGCCUGGGAACUACGGCAGAGGUGUGCUAUCACAGCACACUGGCCGCUCUCAGAGGAAGCCAGAGCGCUUUCAGCGUGCUCAGCGAGCGAAGCAGGAUGAGGCUCUUCUCCACCCAGGGUGCAAAGAACUGGGCAUGCAAAUUAGCCAUGACAACUCCUGCCAACAGCUGUUCCAGAAGGGCAGCCUCCUCUUCCAGCUCUGGUAUCACGUGCUGGUGGCAUUUCCUUGACUCAAAAAGGGUCACAUUACAAGUGCUUCAAGUUGCUCUUCAUUCAAGAAUGAAUUCUGGUUUUGAAGGCAGAGGCUGGGAACCACCCUCUAGAGCCAGAUGGCCGAAAUAGCAGAGAGCAGGCUUUUGGGGAUAAAAUGGCAGCAGUUUCCAACCUGCAGGUUCAUAGACAAAUCGGGUGAACCACAAGUGGACACAUGGUUCUGAAAGUUGGCCAUUAACUUGAGCCUAUACUGGGUUUCAAAGGAGGUGAGAUCGACUCAACUUUAGGAAGGAAUGGGAUAAGAGCAAGAGACCAAUUUUGACUAUUUCUAAUCACUUCUGCGUCCUUAUGCCACUUUUAAUUAAGAACUACCUAUGUAAAAUUAGGUCUGAGAAGUAACUCAUGCAAAGUCCAGCAUUUCAUGUUGGGUCUUAUGCAAAAAAUUAAACAACAAAAUGGGUGUGUUAAAUGGAUUUUAGAUAAAAGGAUAUUCUUUUUGUUAAGAAAGGCCUCAGGUUAAGGGGCGCCUGGGUGGCUCAGCCGGUUAAGCGUCCGGCUUCAGCUCAGGUCAUGAUCUC